rnacentral:sRNA from 1 species
UUUUUCAUCCCACAAAAUUCUAAUUGUCAAAUGAAAAUUGUUGGAAUUUUCAGUUUUACAAAGUGUUUCGCCGUUGUUUCACCAUAAAUUUUAA